GGCCUAAACCGAUAAGCAAUUAUUGGCAUGGUCGCCAAAUCCACGAAAAGAAACAGCUCGUCAUGAGUACUUCUUUUCGUGGUUGCUACUGGAAACGGUGGUAGGGGCGUAAGCCUC
rnacentral:sRNA from 1 species